AGGACGAACGCUGGCGGCGUGCUUAACACAUGCAAGUCGAACGGAAAGGCCCGCUUGCGGGUACUCGAGUGGCGAACGGGUGAGUAACACGUGGGCAACCUGCCCCUAGCUCUGGGAUAACAUUUGGAAACAGAUGCUAAUACCGGAUACCAACCUUUGCGGGCAUCCGCGAUGGUUGAAAGUUUUUCGGCUAGGGAUGGGCCCGCGGCCUAUCAGCUUGUUGGUGGGGUAAUAGCCCACCAAGGCGACGACGGGUA
rnacentral:rRNA from 1 species